GUAGAUCAGUCUGGGAGAUCGCCGCAUUGGCUGUGCGGAGGCCGCGGGUUCAAAUCCCGCC
rnacentral:tRNA from 1 species